rnacentral:misc_RNA from 1 species
UCGUAACAAGGUCUCCGUUGGUGAACCAGCGGAGGGAUCAUUACAGAGUUACUACUCCAAACCCAUUGUGAACCUUACCUAUGUUCUGUUGCCUCGGCGGCGUGGUCAGCGCCCCCUCUGAAAAGAGGACGAUGCCCUCCCGCCGGCAGCACCAAACUCUUUGAAUUUUACAGCGGAUUACAGUUCUGAUUUGAAAACAAAAAACAAGUUAAAACUUUCAACAACGGAUCUCUUGGUUCUGGCAUCGAUGAAGAACGCAGCGAAAUGCGAUAAGUAAUGUGAAUUGCAGAAUUCAGUGAAUCAUCGAAUCUUUGAACGCACAUUGCGCCCGGCAGUAAUCUGCCGGGCAUGCCUGUCCGAGCGUCAUUUCAACCCUCGAACCUCCGUUUCCUCAGGGAAGCUCAGGGUCGGUGUUGGGGCGCUACGGCGAGUCUUCGCGACCCUCCGUAGGCCCUGAAAUACAGUGGCGGUCCCGCCGCGGUUGCCUUCUGCGUAGUAAGUCUCUUUUGCAAGCUCGCAUUGGGUCCCGGCGGAGGCCUGCCGUCAAACCACCUAUAACUCCAGAUGGUUUGACCUCGGAUCAGGUAGGGUUACCCGCUGAACUUAAGCAUAUCAAUAAGCGGAGGA